AUACUUUCUGGGCGGAUGAAAUGAAAAAUCCAGUGACCAUCCAGGCCGAGCCGUUUAUUUCUCCGCCCUGCACCCUGGUAGACAGCAACCAAAUACAACCACUCAGACCUCCAACAUAUAGAAUCUUAACAAGAUAUUGAAGUACUUUUUCGACUCCAAUAUGAACUAUCGCACGAGAACCGUUGAUUGAUCCUCAAAUGAAUUGGUGGAGGGAUAUGCUACAGGUGGCCAAGAUUCACCGGAUAACAUUUCUAACGACUCAUCUAAGAUCCUAUAGUACACGGAACCACCAAAGGAAGACAUUUCAAUAUCAAUCAGGAGCACGAUCCCAGAACCAACCCUUGCUGCCCUCGACUUCGUCUCCAGCGAUUACUCAGCUCAAUCACUCUGGUCUCAAACGCCCACCACCACCGCUCAAACACUAUCUGCCCGACUUCCCACACAUCAAGCUCAAAGGGGUCUCGGCCACUCACCCGCAUCCCCUCAGAAGGGUCCUCAAUAUCAUACACUAGAUUCAUCAUAGCCAUGGGAUGAGAUGCGGAAGAUGGUCGUAGGUGAGCUGGCAUACUGAAAACCUGGAUGAGCUUGUCGCGGGUGGUGGGCCAGGGAAAGAGGUCGAAAAUUGGAUGAUGUGGGAUUAAGCGCUGUGUCGCGGUUGGCUGGAGAUGGGCAGGUAGCUCUUCUAACGAUGCCCUGACAGAAGGAGAAGAAGAGGGAGGAGCAGGAGGAAAUGACGAGGAGGGAAUGGAAGAGGGGGAAGAGGAGCUCGAGGACGGAGAUUUGAGUCCCGCUGGGCCUGUGUAGAAUGGACUGACAGCGUCCACCUCCAAAAUUACAUCUUUGAGUCGCAGUCGCUCAGCUACAGCGAGCAUGCCGCGGAGAAGGGAUAAGGUUGGUAUUUCGAUGGUGUGGUCGUCUGGGAAGGUGAAUGUUGUAGUCUGGUGGGAUUGGAGGGUUGCGGAGAGAUCGCUUGGCGCGAAGUCUUGUAUACUAAAUGGAGUUUGGAGGAAUUGAUAAGGGAAUGCCUCAGGUUCAGGAGAGGACGGAGCAAGUGACAAGAGAGUUUCGAAGCAUGAAUGUGACGACAUGGCUACUACUGACGAGGAUGAGGAUAAGGAAGGCGAUGAUGAGUUGUUCAUCAUUAAUUCUGGAGCAAAACCCGGAAGUUCAGAUUGCCCGAAAAAGCUGGAUCCAGAACUGGAAGAAUCUAUGGCUUCCAGCGAGUCCAGGAGUGCCUCCUGAACUCGAUAUAUGGUUCCCGGUGACGCGGGAGGUUCGUCCGUCGUAUGGGCCUCUGUUGCUUCUGAUAGUGGCAGGAUGUCGUAUCCUGACGGGUUUUCAGGAGUGCUUUCAGUUGAAAGAGGAUCAACAGCCGUUGGUGUGCGUCCUUGGCCAUUCUCGUGUAACUUAGCUUCCAGUGUAGCUAGAUAUUCCCUCUUUCGUUUUCCUAGACGCUGAAUUAGACCAUGUCCUGUGGCAUAGUGGCG
rnacentral:sRNA from 1 species